GAACGAAAAAUAGAUUUCUAUGUUUGGUUACGGUCCAAAAUGAUAUUCGUUUU
rnacentral:tRNA from 1 species